GGCAGGGCCGGGCUGCUCGGGGCUCAUUACCCCGGGGACGCGGGUUCGACUCCCGCACCUGCCA
rnacentral:tRNA from 1 species